GACGAACGCUGGCGGCGUGCUUAACACAUGCAAGUCGAACGGAAAGGCCCUGCUUUUGUGGGGUGCUCGAGUGGCGAACGGGUGAGUAACACGUGAGUAACCUGCCCUUGACUUUGGGAUAACUUCAGGAAACUGGGGCUAAUACCGGAUAGGAGCUCCUGCUGCAUGGUGGGGGGUGGAAAGUUUCGGCGGUUGGGGAUGGACUCGCGGCUUAUCAGCUUGUUGGUGGGGUAGUGGCUUACCAAGGCUUUGACGGGUAGCCGGCCUGAGAGGGUGACCGGCGACCUUGGGACUGAGAUACGGCCCAGACUCCUACGGGAGGCAGCAGUGGGGAAUAUUGCACAAUGGGCGGAAGCCUGAUGCAGCAACGCCGCGUGCGGGAUGACGGCCUUCGGGUUGUAAACCGCUUUCGCCUGUGACGAAGCGUGAGUGACGGUAAUGGGUAAAGAAGCACCGGCUAACUACGUG
rnacentral:rRNA from 1 species